UGGGGAAUAUUGGGCAAUGGGCGCAAGCCUGACCCAGCAACGCCGCGUGAAGGAAGAAGGCUUUCGGGUUGUAAACUUCUUUUGUCAGGGAAGAGUAGAAGACGGUACCUGACGAAUAAGCCACGGCUAACUACGUGCCAGCAGCCGCGGUAAUACGUAGGUGGCAAGCGUUGUCCGGAUUUACUGGGUGUAAAGGGCGUGUAGCCGGGUUGACAAGUCAGAUGUGAAAUCCUGCGGCUUAACCGCAGAACUGCAUUUGAAACUGUUGAUCUUGAGUACUGGAGAGGCAGACGGAAUUCCUAGUGUAGCGGUGAAAUGCGUAGAUAUUAGGAGGAACACCAGUGGCGAAGGCGGUCUGCUGGACAGCAACUGACGGUGAGGCGCGAAAGCGUGGGGAGCAAACAGG
rnacentral:rRNA from 1 species